CAUCCGGGUGCGUGAAACA
rnacentral:misc_RNA from 1 species